CUUUCUUGGAGAGUUUGAUCCUGGCUCAGGACGAACGCUGGCGGCGUGCCUAAUACAUGCAAGUCGAGCGAAUCUUGAGGUGCUUGCACC
rnacentral:rRNA from 1 species